UACGGAGGGUGCAAGCGUUAUCCGGAUUCACUGGGUUUAAAGGGUGCGUAGGCGGGCAGGUAAGUCCGUGGUGAAAUCUCUGAGCUUAACUCAGAAAUUGCCAUGGAUACUAUUUGUCUUGAAUAUUGUGGAGGUGAGCGGAAUAUGUCAUGUAGCGGUGAAAUGCUUAGAUAUGACAUAGAACACCCAUUGCGAAGGCAGCUCACUACACAAUGAUUGACGCUGAGGCACGAAAGCGUGGGGAUCAAACAGG
rnacentral:rRNA from 1 species